ensembl:misc_RNA Metazoa_SRP Metazoan signal recognition particle RNA
GCCAGGCGUGGUGGCGCACGCCUGUAAUCCCAGCUACUCAGGAGGCUGAGGCAGAAGAAUCGCUUGAGCCUGGGAGGUGGAGGCUGCAGUGAGCCGACAUCAUGCCACUGCACUCCAGCCUGGGCUACAGAGCGAGACUCCGUCUCAA